rfam:Bacillus galactosidilyticus strain PL133 scaffold000128, whole genome shotgun sequence.
GAUAAAUGAUCUUCGACUGAGUACCGCCACGUCCUGUGGCGAACGUCGAAAUCACGACAUCCUGUGGU